CUGGAAAAGUUGCUUGGUGGUGUCGCCUUUCCAAAGAGUUUCCCGAGUUUCUGAAUUUCGAAGCUGAGAAAUAAUUUCAAGGAAUUGGACCCAGUUAUUGUUUUUUUAUAUAUAAUUUGGAGCUGGAGGAACUACCAGCGGACAUUUGACAGGCCUCAGUAUUUCCUCUCAUUUUGAUAAUUAAAACCACCUCUUCUUCAUCAAGGGCAUACCUAGUAAAAGAGAAAUUUGUGAUUUUUCUAAGAAUCCUGUAUGAAGGAUUCCUCAUUUUUGCAAAUCUGCUGGCAGUUGGAAAUAUUGACGCAAGGGAUGAGAUUGAAAGCAUCAACACUUCGUGCAGGAAGUUGUCUUUAAAAGAAGGAAGUUUUUCUCCCAAUUUCAUGGACACCUACGCGGCUCUUGAUGGUGGAUCAACACUGAAGCAACAAUUUGGUUUACCGAUGGAAGGACAGCAGGAAACAAGAGUCAGGAUGACGGAAACUGACUGUGAUAACGGUGACUGUAACACGGAACCGAACCCACUUGGGAUCGAUAUCAGCGGUCUCUUUGCCACUUUU